rnacentral:lncRNA from 1 species
GUGAGACAACCACAUAUUUCAGUCACAGUAAGGUGAGACAACCACAUAAUGUAUCUCAGUCACAUUAAGGUGAGACAACCACAUACUGUAUUUCAGUCACAGUAAGGUCGGACGACCACAUACUGUAUCUCAGUCACAGUAAGGUGAGACAACCACAUAUUUCAGUCACAGUAAGGUGAGACAACCACAUAAUGUAUCUCAGUCACAUUAAGGUGAGACAACCACAUACUGUAUUUCAGUCACAGUAAGGUCGGACGACCACAUACUGUAUCUCAGUCACAGUAAGGUGAGAUUAAUACCUAUCUCAGUCACAGUAAGGUGGGACAUCCACAUAUUCCAGUCAUAGUAAGGUGGGACGACCACAUACUGUAUCUCAGUCACAGUAAGGUGAGAUUAAUACAUAUCUCAGUAACAGUAAGGUAGGACAACCACUUAUUUCAGUCACAGUAAGGUGGGACGACCACAUAUUUCAGUCACAGUAAGGUGGGACAAACACAUAUUUCAGUCACAGUAAGGUGGGACGACCACAUAUUUCAGUCACAGUAAGGUGGGACAUCCACAUAUUUCAGUCACAGUAAGGUGGGACGACCACAUACUGUAUCUCAGUCACAGUAAGGUGAGACAACCACAUAUUUCAGUCACAG